UAGAAAAAUCCUUAGUGCCUGAAUUCAUUUUCUUUGCAACUUGACUAUGCUGUUGUAGGAAGGAAAAUUUGUCACAGAGGGAAUUUUGAACUCCAAACUAAUUGACACUUACAAAAUAUCUGCCAAUAGCGAACUUUUCUGGACCAGGAUGAAGAAAACAUGAGUUUAAAAAUGUUUUUUUACAUUAUGCCACUGUAUUGAUUAUUUUUAUAGCAACAUGAAGACAGUGUCCUGCAGCUAGCAAGGGAUUUUGAAGAGAACAAGGUGAACAAACCAAAUUAUGCCAUGCUUGAAAAACUGAAGAAAGAAAUGGACAAGUUAUCCUCACAGCAGGAUUUGUUCAAGUCCAAAGGAAAACUUCAUUUAGAAGAUGGACCCAAUCUUCCCUCUUCCUCUGUCAUAACAGCUGUGGACUUGGGGUAAAAUUACCUAUCAGGUUUAUUUGACCAGGGAUGUUUUUGGCCAGAGUACAUGGUUGACAGCAUCAUGUGGGUAUUGCCAAUUGCAAGUUGCCAAUGGAUAGGUUGUGCUUGCAUAGCCAGAGUUUUUGCCGUUAUAUUUUUCUUUAAAAAUGCUUGUGUUGACAUGUACAAAAAUAAACCAUCCUGGAAAAUUGAAAUUUCUUUUUUCCAUGAAAUCUACCUGCCAAGUGGUGAUUGUUACUUAAGAACAGGAUAAAGUUUUAACUCUCAUUCUUAACAAUAUGGUGGAAUGGGAUGUGCCUCUGCAAACCAAAUGUUUGGUGCAGACACAAAGAAUUUCAUUUGCAAACCUUUUAAGUAGCAAACAUUUGGACUAAUUACUGGGCACCCAGUUUUGGCAUAAAUAUAUAUGUAUCACGGUGUGUAGUAUUUUUUGACUAUCUGAAAGUGAUCCAGACCAAUGUCCUUGCAGAUUAGAUCUUUGAAGUAAUUAUAAAAAUCUUGGAUAUAUUAUAAGAUCUGCAGAAGACAAGAAGUGAUAAUGAAUGCAGCAUAAGAUCCUGUCCAAAUGUUUUCUGGAAGUUUUCAUUUAGCUUAUUUGUUUGUUUGUCACAUAUCAAGAACUGAUUCAGAAACACUAUUAAUAACCAAAAAAUGCAUUUGAUUUUGAACAAUGCAGAUUUAUCUAAUGUUUCAUAUAUAAAUUGACCAAGGGAAUAAUACCAAAGAAACCAAGUUUCUUUUUUCAUCCGACUUUGCCAAAUAUCUCUUGUACUAUCUCUUUACAUUGUUGUGGACCAAAAAUACAGAAACUACUCAUUCUUAAACUUGUGAAAGAUAAUGAAAUCAAAUACUUAUUUUGAGAUUUUUUGUCAUUGUAUAUUGUUUUUAUUUAUGUGCAGUUGCAAUGAAUACACAAGUGCAGGCUUCAUAGCUUUCAUACAACUGCUGGUAGUUAUAUAUAUUCAAGAAUAGUGAUAUAUUUAAGGCAUAAAUUGUGAUUAUAUCAUUUUAGCCCAGUACUUUGCCUGUCUGCCAAUGUGCUUUUGAUUAUCUGUCAUAUGUAUUGUGAUAAUAACUCUUAUAUCUGCUAUUAUAACUAGACAUGUAAUACAAUGUUAAGCUGUAGUGAUUUUUGUUAGAAGUGGCAUUUAUUAUAUUAUUAUUCCACUUCAUAAUUUUAUGACCAAUUUAUUGUCAAUUUCAAUUUAUUCUAUCCAGGAUUUUCCUGCCAAAUUGAAUUUUUCCCUAAAUUUUCUACUCACGAAUCUUUGCUUUGGUGUUUUAUAUCAUUUCCAAUUUAGUUGUAAAUGACUGAAGGUCAAUAGACUACAAGUCUUCCUGUAGAUUUCAGAAGGAAAUAUCAACAUCAGGUACUUUGAUUCGAGGUGUCCUAUUGAUUUUAAGGUAUGGAUUGAAAAAGUUGCAGGAUAAGUAGACAUAGAAAAUAUCAGGGCUGAUUGAAAACCUUUGAGAUUUGCAAUAUUUGGAGAAUAAUACACAAGUGCUGUAAGAAUUAGCAUAAUUGUUGAGAUGCUACUCUAAGAUUUUCAAGUCUGUACGUGUGGCAGAACAGUUUACUUAAUAUAAAGGGUAGUUAGACAGUUGAUUGUAUAAGGUUGUGCUGGGUAGGGCUGUAUUCAUCUUACUCUAUAUGUUGGUGGAGGUGUUUGUAUUUUUAAAGCUGUAGUGGAUGUUAGUGGUGCUGGAAAUAAUCUCUAGAUCAAAUUGUUAGUGAAAAUUGUAAACUAAAGAAAUGCAUUUAUUGUCUGUACAGGAAAUGGCUCUUACAGUUGCUAAGAAAUUGAACUCAAUUUUUUAAAUCCACGCUUCCCUAGUUGAAGAUCAUGUUGGUUCUCAGAACAGAACAACCUGAAUGUCAGCUAUAAAUGACACAUCUAUGUGACAUCUUCCUGUUCAGAUGAGGUUUUAUUUUAUUGCACUCAUUCAUUAGACAAUGUAUUAUGAUAUUUCAAUGUAUCUCUGUAUGAAAGCAAACUGUUAGACUCCUGCAAGUAGUCUCUAAUGUAGUAGCAACAUACCUCAAAGAAGAAUGCUGAAAAAGAGCAUUGUCUAUUUCAUAGAUGGCUAUAAUAAAACAGUGCAUGUGCUCAAAAUUG